rnacentral:rRNA from 1 species
UGGGAAUUUUGGACAAUGGGCGAAAGCCUGAUCCAGCAAUGCCGCGUGUGUGAAGAAGGCCUUCGGGUUGUAAAGCACUUUUGUCCGGAAAGAAAUCCUUGGCUCUAAUACAGUCGGGGGAUGACGGUACCGGAAGAAUAAGCACCGGCUAACUACGUGCCAGCAGCCGCGGUAAUACGUAGGGUGCAAGCGUUAAUCGGAAUUACUGGGCGUAAAGCGUGCGCAGGCGGUUUGCUAAGACCGAUGUGAAAUCCCCGGGCUCAACCUGGGAACUGCAUUGGUGACUGGCAGGCUAGAGUAUGGCAGAGGGGGGUAGAAUUCCACGUGUAGCAGUGAAAUGCGUAGAGAUGUGGAGGAAUACCGAUGGCGAAGGCAGCCCCCUGGGCCAAUACUGACGCUCAUGCACGAAAGCGUGGGGAGCAAACAGGAUUAGAUACCCUGGUAGUCCACGCCCUAAACGAUGUCAACUAGUUGUUGGGGAUUCAUUUCCUUAGUAACGUAGCUAACGCGUGAAGUUGACCGCCUGGGGAGUACGGUCGCAAGAUUAAAACUCAAAUGAAUUGACGGGGUCAUAGCUGUUUCCU